rnacentral:tRNA from 1 species
UGUGAAGUGCCUGAUUAUAGGACAAUUUUGAUACAAUUGAACAAGUGUUUUCCCCCCCUGACACCUUCACAA